rnacentral:rRNA from 1 species
CAGUCGCCGCGGGAAUACGUAGGUGGCAAGCGUUGUCCGGAUUUAUUGGGCGUAAAGCGAGCGCAGGCGGUUUCUUAAGUCUGAUGUGAAAGCCCCCGGCUCAACCGGGGAGGGUCAUUGGAAACUGGGAGACUUGAGUGCAGAAGAGGAGAGUGGAAUUCCAUGUGUAGCGGUGAAAUGCGUAGAUAUAUGGAGGAACACCAGUGGCGAAGGCGGCUCUCUGGUCUGUAACUGACGCUGAGGCUCGAAAGCGUGGGGAGCAAACAGGAUUAGAUACCCCAGUAGUCCCUGUCUCUUAUAC